rnacentral:lncRNA from 1 species
AUCAAUCUUCACAACAGCCCUGUGAGAUAGUUCACUAAGUAUUCUCUCAAUUUCACAGGUAGGGAAACAAGCACAGAGAUUAAAUGAUUCAGCUGAAGUCUCUCAAGUAAAUUUCAGAGGCAGGAUUAUCACUCAGGACUCCUUGACUACCAGCUUGUGUUCAUUCCUCCAGAUGACACUGCCUCCAAGAUCUCACACAGUAAUAACACAACUUUAAUAAUGUAUUCAUAUUUCAUGUCACCACCAUGAGGACAUGGACUCCUUUGGCUAAAAAUGAUGGACAUGGAGAGGUAAUGGGAAACUGUGCAGAUGUAAUACAAGAGGAUGAACAUAUAGUAGAACCUCAGCGUUAUGAACACCAGAGUGACUGAACUGACCAGUCAACUGCACACCUCCAUUUGGAACUGGAAGUAUGAGAUCAGGCAGCAGUAGAGACGGGGGUGGGGGUGGAAUAAAAAGCAAAUACUGUACAGCACAGUACUGUGUUAAAUGUAAACUACUAAAAAAGUAAAGGGAAAGUUUUAAAAAAAAAGAAGACUUGACAAGGUAAGAUGGUUAAAAGCAGUAUUUUUCUUCUGCAUAGUAAAGUUUCAAAGCUGUCAAUGUUCAGCUAUAAACUUUUGAAAGAACAACCAUAACGUUUGAUUCAGAGUUACAAACGACUUCCAUUCCCGAGGUGUUGGUAACUCAGAGGUUACUGUACCCAUAAAUGUGUGAUGUGAGAUCUUUUUCCUACGUAUGAAUGCUUCAUUUCUUAGUAUGCAGUUGCUGACAUGUUGGAUAUUAUCUGUUACUAGGUUCAAAUAAGUCUAAUUUUUGUUUCCAUGUUGUUCUUCUCACACAGCUGUCAAUAUGUCUUCCUGGAUAGAUUACAUGGCUGAGUUAGAUACCCCAUCCUUCCUACUAUCUCGCUUGCUGUGUCUACAUGUGCUGAGGAGUGGAAGCAGCAGAGCUCCAAAAGGGAAACGGGACUCUCUCUUGCAAAGACUUUUUGGUAAGGAAACUUUAGCAAAUAUCUACAUUAAAAAUUUAGUUCUCGGAGAAUCAGAAUGGUGUAAUGGUAGAAAGUGAUAUUAUGAGGCAUUCCUGAAGUGUUUCCAGUGCAGAUGCAUUUGGCAUCGGAUGGUAAGUGACUACUUGAUGCUAUUUUAUAACUUAAAAUGGCACCCAGGCAUAGUUUACAUGCUUUUGGGGGGAUUGGGGAGGGGGGGGGGAGAAGUCUUCAAAAGAAGGAGUUGGAGAAUCUGACAUGCAUUGGAAUUAUAUUUGUAACCACGCACGGUACAGCAG